CACGUAGGGCGCGAGCGUUGUCCGGAAUUAUUGGGCGUAAAGAGCUCGUAGGCGGCCUGUUGCGUCCGCUGUGAAAGCCCGGGGCUUAACCCCGGGUCGGCAGUGGAUACGGGCAGGCUAGAGGUAGGUAGGGGAGAAUGGAAUUCCCGGUGUAGCGGUGAAAUGCGCAGAUAUCGGGAGGAACACCGGUGGCGAAGGCGGUUCUCUGGGCCUUACCUGACGCUGAUGCACGAAAGCUAGGGGAGCAAACAGG
rnacentral:rRNA from 1 species